AAGUUGAAACACAACAUAACCUAUAAAAAAAAAAAAAAAAGAGAAAAGGGUGCAUGACCCAAAUAAAGCCACCUCAGGCAAAAGACUUGUCCUUCUUUCCUAACACAAAACAUUUAGGCGAACCAAACCACAGCUAGAAGAGGAUGGGAAAAGGAAGAAGGAUAAAACCACAAAACAAAAACACACAAACAUUCUGCUGCUGACAUUAAUUAGAAGAGUCUGGUUUUCUGAGGCAUUAUAUGUGUAGCAUCUAGGGGUAUUUGUAGGCAGUCAAAAUUAAGGUCAGAGAUGUAAAUCCAUGUGGUUUGAGUUUGAAUGUGUGAAGUGAUAGAUUCACAAAUUGCCUUUUCAUUUUCAGAUUUUUAUUUUUACAGUAUUAGCUAAUCUAGAGUUCAAUCCAAGUCUCAGUGUUUUUCGUUUAGAAUUCUAUUUAUUAAACAGGAACCCAAUCUGCUCAUCAGAUGGCACGCAAAGAGCACUAGUUGUUAAUCAGUAAAUACUUAACAUGUUUUCAUCCGUCAGUCAUAAAUAGAAAAGCAUUAAAAUGUUUUGUUACAUAACAUUACUUUUUUCCUGUUUAGUUAAAAUUCAUUCCAGUU
rnacentral:lncRNA from 1 species